GUAAACAUAGCUCAGUUGGCAGAGCAGCUAUUUGUGGCAUAGCAGGUCUUAGGUUCGAACCCUAAUUUUUACC
rnacentral:tRNA from 1 species